GUGCCAGCCGCCGCGGUAAUACAGAGGGUGCGAGCGUUGUCCGGAAUUACUGGGCGUAAAGGGCGCGUAGGCGGCUUGGUAAGUCGGGGGUGAAAGUCAGCGGCUCAACCGCUGGACUGCCUUCGAGACUGCCUGGCUUGAGCAUGGUAGAGGCUGGCGGAAUUCCCGGUGUAGCGGUGGAAUGCGUAGAGAUCGGGAAGAACAUCGGUGGCGAAGGCGGCCAGCUGGGCCAUUGCUGACGCUGAGGCGCGACAGCGUGGGGAGCAAACAGGAUUAGAAACCCCAGUAGUCC
rnacentral:rRNA from 1 species